AUCAUUACUCUGCCUUUCAGCUAAGAUCAAGUUUAGUAUCUGUUCUUACUAGUUUAAAAUGCUAUGCUCUAUACCUUAGACCACAUAUAGCAUAGCUAUCUAGAGCUUUA
rnacentral:snRNA from 1 species